CUAAAGAGAGAGAUGUGGCCCGAAGCUCUUCCUGGCUUUAUAAUAAUAGCUGGUUGCUUCACACUGACGGGGAUCAUUUUUAGAGGAGUAGACAAAUGGAUGAACAAUGGACGGCCGAGGAGAUAUAAUUUGGAUAGCUGGGACAGAUCAAUGAUGCAGAGAGACAAGAGAUUAACCGGAAGCAACAAGCAACAAGCACUGUAAACUGUAGACACACACUCACUCAAACUCAUUGAUUAGAAAUACUCUAUUAAUUGUUGUUAUUAUUAAUAC